GAUGAAGAACGUAGCGAAAUGCGAUACGUAAUGUGAAUUGCAAAUUCAGUGAAUCAUCGAAUCUUUGAACGCACAUUGCGCCCGCCAGUAUUCUGGCGGGCAUGCCUGUUCGAGCGUCAUUUCAACCAUCAAGCCCCCGGCUUGUGUUGGGGACCUGCGGCUGCCGCAGGCCCUGAAAAGCAGUGGCGGGCUCGCUGUCACACCGAGCGUAGUAGCAUACAUCUCGCUCUGGGCGUGCUGCGGGUUCCGGCCGUUAAACCACCUUCAUAACCCAAGGUUGACCUCGGAUCAGGUAGGAAGACCCGCUGAACUUAAGCAUAUCAAUAAGCGGAGGA
rnacentral:misc_RNA from 1 species